GGGUUUGGAAAAGUUUUGGAAUUCCAUGGAAUUCCAAUUAUUUCUAUACCAAACUUGAAAAGUGUGUCUGGAAGUUUUUGGAAUAUUUUGGAAUUUGAAAAAAAAAUUGGACUUAGACAUUUUUUGGUUUGGAAAGUAGUGGAAUUCUUUGGAAAAAAUGAUAAAAUGAGAAACUUAGCCAUUUUCUGCGCUGGAAAACUGUGGAAAAUUACUUAGAUUUUUUUAACUGUCGAAUAAUAGUACAAUAACAUCGGGCUCGAAGUCGGGCUCGAUGAACAAUUAAUUUAAACAACACGCCGAAAUUCAAAAAUAUCGAAUGCCAUGUUGAUGUUGCACAGAAGGAAAGUUGGAAAGAGGGUGUCUAGAACAGGGGAAUCAUGUUUAGCUUUGGAUGGAAGAAGAUGAAGACAUUUUAAGAUCUGUUGCUGCAUAGUGCCUGAGAUGAUCACCACAGCGAUGGCGUUUUAUAACUUGGUGGAUGUAGAUGCUUAGCCAAUCAGUCACUAGGCUUGUGAAUAUGAUCAAACAUGCUGCAAUCAUCUACUAUGAAGUAACCAUCCAUUCUACAGGAAUCCCUAUGCUCACAAGGACAAGAGCUGGAUGAAAAAAAACCC